UUCAUUUCUUCCAUGCCCAAACAUCUUGGAUUAAUUCAGACAAUGUCGAAGCUCUCCUUCAGAUUGUUCUUUGCCAUCCUCCUUAUUUCCUCAGUUUGUCUGAUGAUGCAUGAAGUCCAUGGACAAGAAAUGUGCCAUGGACGAAUCCCUGGUGAUGGUUCUUGUGACGCUGGAACUUGCAGCAGCCAAUGUGGUCAAUCCUUCCCAGGAAGCCAGGGAAGUUGCGUUCAGACAUUUAUCAAUCGUUUCACUUGUCAGUGUACCUGGCCUUGCAGUUAGUGAAACAACAACCUAACCUUGUUCAUCUUCCUCAUUUCUCUGCUUUAUGUAAUAAAUAUAGCUUUCGUUUUGAACCAAUAUAUCAGCUAUUUUGAAUCUA